UGCAGCCCUAAACAGCAAAAAAAAGUUUUUCAGUGACCACACUAACAGAAGUGGCUUGACCGCAACCCUCAGGCACUGUUUAGCUUAUUCUUCUCCUUCGUUACACACUAAUAUUGUCAAAAAAAGACCCUGGGUAUUAGCUUAUUUAAUAGUAUCUGAUAGUUAAUGUGUGCAAAGCCUGACCUAAGUGCUUUAACCAUCUACCCUCAGUGGAUUCUCCAACUACUAUUCUUCUCAUAUUACAGAUGAGGACUAGAGACACCAUAACGUUAAUUAAUGGUGUUCCCUGGUGGUCUAGCAGUUAAGGGCUCAGAGUUGUCACUGCUGUAGCUGGGGUUAUUCCUGUGGCCAAAAAAGUUUACUUGUGCAAGGUCACCCAUAUGAUUCCAUGAGGCACAGAACCUCAACUAAGGUAGAGACUGUCUUGUUCACAGCUCUUUCCCUGGCAAUUUAGAACAAAAACGGUGCCUAACAUAUUAUAAGCACUCAAUAAAUAUCUAGAUUCAGUUAACAGAUAUAAGGCAUCUAGGAGGCAUUGGAGUACAAAGCAGUGAAAAAAUAUUUAAAAAUUCAUGCCUAAAUGGAGCUUACAUUGAACGCUCUCAGGCCUGCACCCAAUUAGCCACCCUAGAUAUAAAUAUGUACGUGUAUGUACAUUUCAUUUGGUGCUAUCAACCCUGAAAAUUAGGGCCUACCCACUUUGCAGAAGAGUAAACUGAGGGUCCAAGUGGGGCAAUGUUUUGCCCAGGAUCCAGGGGCUUAACAGGAGGCAGGGCUCUAGAUUCCAACCCAGACCGGGCGGUUCCCAGGCAAUCCUUAUGCAUUAAUCAAACCGACCAAUCCAAUCACCCAAUCAGUGUUUAUUUGGGCCUACUGCGUGCAGCUCCUCUUCCAGCGCAGGCCAGGAAGGGAGGAGGUUGUGCUGCGCAGGCGGCUUCGGAGACCGGGGAGUUACAGCCAGAUCGCGGGAAUUUGGCGCCCAUUUUCUGCUGGUUAGGUGUUCUAGCCUGUGAUUGGGCCUCGGCGCGGCGUGAGUACGCCCGGCUGCGGCUGGUCGGCCGACCUUGGCAGGACCCAGGCGGCGCGGUACUCUUCCGGCCUCCCGGGGGAUGGGCCACCAGGAGCCCCCGCUGGCCCGAGUGCGGGCCGGACGUGAGGCUUAUAUAAAAGGGUUACGUAAAGGGCUCAGCUGGCGCGAACACGUGGAGAGCCGCGGGAGCCCCUACGCUCAGUUCUCCCCCGAGAGCGCCGCUGCCAUCACCCGUGCGGCCGCAAGCUCCAUUGCACGCUCGGCCCGGGCCAACGCCUCUCGCGCCGCUCCGUACCGGAGGCAGCCCUGGCCCGGAGCGGACCAUCCCCAACCCGGGGCCUUAGAGGGGAAACGGGCUGCCCGGAAGUGGAAAGGAGCCGGCCAGGUCACAAUCCAAGGUCCCGAUCCUCCGCGUCCCGGGGCCGGACGGAGGGAUGAGGCAGGGGGGGCCCGGGCAGCGCCGUUGCUGCUCCCCCCGCCGCUCGCAGCCAUGGAAACGGGGGAAGAGGACGGCGCCCGCAGAGGUACACAAAGCCCCGAGCGGAAAAGGCGAAGCCCAGUGCCGCGGGCGCUCAGCGCGAAGCUGAGGCCGGCGGCGGCGGCCCAGGCCAUGGAUCCGGUGGCGGUCGAGGCCCCGGGCGAGGCCUACCUGGCGAGGCGGCGGCCCGAGGGCGGCGGCGGGUCAGCGCGGCCGCGCUACAGCCUGCUGGCGGAGAUCGGGCGCGGCAGUUACGGCGUGGUGUACGAGGCAGUGGCCGGGCGCAGCGGGGCCCGGGUGGCGGUCAAGAAGAUCCGCUGCGACGCCCCCGAGAACGUGGAGCUGGCGCUGGCCGAAUUCUGGGCCCUGACCAGCCUCAAGCGGCGCCACCAGAACGUCGUGCAGUUUGAGGAGUGCGUCCUGCAGCGCAACGGGCUAGCUCAGCGCAUGAGCCACGGCAACAAGAACUCGCAGCUUUACCUGCGCCUGGUGGAGACUUCGCUCAAAGGAGAAAGGAUCCUGGGCUACGCGGAGGAGCCCUGCUAUCUCUGGUUCGUCAUGGAGUUCUGCGAAGGUGGAGACCUGAAUCAUUACGUCCUGUCCCGGAGGCCGGACCCCGCCACCAACAAGAGCUUCAUGCUGCAGCUCACGAGCGCCAUUGCCUUCCUGCACAAAAACCACAUCGUGCACAGGGACCUCAAGCCAGACAACAUCCUCAUCACGGAGCGGUCUGGCACCCCCAUCCUCAAGGUGGCAGACUUUGGACUCAGCAAGGUGUGUGCCGGGCUGGCGCCCCGAGGGAAAGAGGGCAAUCAAGACAACAAAAAUGUGAAUGUGAAUAAAUACUGGCUGUCCUCAGCCUGCGGCUCAGACUUCUACAUGGCCCCUGAAGUCUGGGAGGGACACUACACCGCCAAGGCCGACAUCUUUGCCCUGGGCAUUAUCAUCUGGGCAAUGAUCGAGAGAAUCACUUUCAUUGACUCUGAGACCAAGAAGGAGCUCCUGGGGACCUAUAUCAAACAGGGGACUGAGAUCGUCCCUGUUGGUGAGGCGCUGCUAGAAAACCCAAAGAUGGAGUUGCACAUCCCCCAGAAACGCAGGACUUCCAUGUCUGAGGGGAUCAAGCAGCUCUUGAAAGAUAUGUUAGCUGCUAACCCACAGGACCGGCCCGAUGCCUUUGAACUUGAAACCAGAAUGGACCAGGUCACAUGUGCUGCUUAAAAUUCAGGGCAAAGCAUCUUGGGUGUUUUUAAACUAGUUUAUCCAGCCAUCCAUGGGAAUCCAGCAGCAGCCGGACAGACAUGAUAUUGGCCUUCACGGAACAUGGUCUGGGGUGACACGUGUCGGAGGAGGGAUCUGGACACCGAGGGAUCUGGCACCACCCCUGUCCUAAGCAUGCAUCAUCCAGAUGCCCUGGCCUGGCCCGGCCCGCAUGUGGGCUGGGUCUGGAGUCCUUGAGUCCCACCUCCUGCUGGUCAGAGUCCUGGGUGCCGCAGCCGCAGGAGGGAGCAGGCUGGGAGAGCGGUGAGGACAUUCAAGAAAUGACAGCUGCAACACGUAAGUAAAGGAGUCAUUAGGAGACGUUGAGAAGGAUGAAAGGCACAGAGCCAGAGGGGGGCUGCUUGGGGGGGGGGGACUGCAGAACUCAUGGAUUUGGAAAGGACCUCUCCACGCCAUCAGCCCACCUGCGGCCUCAGCAGCAGCAGGUGCCCGCCCUCCCCAGAGUCAUAAUGUUUCUUUUAGCUCUUAAUCUGGACCAUAUAUCACAAUUUCAUAGGCACCAGUGCCAUGAGAGAUGAAGACCUAAACUGCUAGAGACUUUUAAUUCGGCUUCAGACAACCCCUGCCCCGCCCCCGCCACUGGCCUGCUGGCCUGGAGAGCCCGAGACAUCUCCUCUGCCGCCCACCGGUCCUGACAUCCUGGAGCAAAGGUUCCCCGGCUCCCACCUUCCAGAAGCAGCUGUCAUGAAGGGGGCAGGGGCUGGCCCACUUUCUGGUAGGAGGUGGGGAGCAAAGUCCUGCAUCACCCACUGCAGCUGGAGGGAGAACGAGGCCAGUGCAUGAGCCAGCCGGGUGCAGCAGUCAGCAUCCACAGAGCACGCCCCCUACUGGCUGCCCCUGUGAAAUCACACUUGUUUGAUUUUUGUCUUGAUUUGCCACCCCGGGGCCAAAACAGGACUUUGAAGGCCAGGGCCAGACCCGGGUCUAAUUUGCUUCUGGGAGGGGCUGGAUCACCCAUUCCUUUGUGAACCAGCGCCACGGCCCUUCCCACUCGGCUUGCCCAGAGUAAUUCACAAAAGCAGAAUUGCAAGCCCUGGCAUGGGACGCACAGAACUCACAGACCCAAUCAUCUUCAAAUUCGCUCACAUCCAUGAUCAUACGGAUUUGGCAGAAGUACGAUUUCCUCUUUCAGAAAGAAGGCGGUGGACACUGAGGCUAUGAGCUGGUCUAGAACCUAAGUUCCUGCCCCUCAGUUCAGCGUCUUUCCAUCACUCAGGCUGUGUCCCCCCUUCGUGAAGAUCUUAGGGAAGCAUAUUUUUUUUAACUUUUUGUUUUGUUUUGUUUUGUUUUGUUUUAGAAUUGAAAUACAGCAUAGUUGAAAAACAAACACAAAUGAGGGCACAAUUCAGUGAAUUUCACAAAAAUUUCUCUCUAGCUUCAAGAUCCAGGUCAAGAAAUAAUAUUUCCCCAGAAGUUCCAAAGUUUGGUGUCACUGCUCAGCCACCAUCCCUGGAAAACACUUUUUACUUUCUGUUUGGCUUGUGGUGGCAUUGUAACUGUUCUGGCAAGAAUUUCCAUUCUUGGGGAAAAAACCCCAGAGUUUCCAGGGAGACAGUGUUUAAAGAUAUAAGAGCACCAGGCUGGGGGCUGGAGAUUUGGGGUCUAUGACUUUGGCUGUGUCACUUCUGUUCCCUGGACCUCAGUUUCCCCAUCUAAAAAACUUGGUGAUUUCCUCAAGAACAGGAGCUGAAACCCUCUCUGGGAGCCCAAGGUUGUCAGCAUCCUUGAUUUCAGGUUCUCUCUGGGACAUUGGGGCUCUGCAGCAGCUGGCAGCAGAGAGCUACACUGACCCCUAAUAACUGUCCUGUGGGGCCCGGGCUCAGCAUAUGUGUGUCCCCUUUGGUGGCUGCUAAUAAAAGCCCAUAAUAGGUGUGUCUUGCAUUUAGGAUGUAAACUGAUAACAACUUUUUUUCUUUCUUUUUAGGGCUGCACCAGCGGCACAUGGAAAUUCCCAGGCUAGGGGUUGAAUCAGAACUACAGCUGCUAGCCCACACCACAGCCACGGCAACACCAGAUCUGAGCCGCAUCUGCUACCUUCACCAGAUCCUUAACACACAGAGUGAGGCCAGGGCUCAGACCACUUCCUUACGGACACUAUGUUGGGUUCUUAAUCUGCUGAGUCACAAUCAGAAUGCCUCCUGAUAAUGCCUUAUAAUUGUCCAUACUUGCUAACUUUUACUAUGUGCUUAUAGCACCAGGAUGGGUGGUAGUUCCUGCCCUCAGGGAGGGCACCAUCUCAGCGAACCUACACUGCCAGGCAGCUAGCAAAUGCCAGAUGAAAAGCCCAGAUGAACAAGGCUGCAGGAGCUCAGAGGAGAGGGGACUGUAACAGUAAUCCAAGAGUUCUUCCUGGAGGAGGCAGCUCCAGGAUCUGGACCUAAAAGAUUAUGAACUGGUCACAAUGACUCUUGCUAAUUUGUAUAGAACAGAGUUUACACAGAGUAGUAGGUGGCUUACAGAAUUGUUGGAAAGAGUGAAGAAACGACCCCAGGUUCACCUUCCAGAAGUGACUCCCAAAGCCACACUGCAGAACUGGGCCUCCAAGUGAGUUCUCUCCCCUACCACAAUGAGGAAGCUGCCUGCAGAAGUGAGAAAUAGCUGCUCUGCUUGCUGGCUCCAGAACCACACUGCAUCUGCUGUGACCCACGUGGGCAAAGCCUGUGUCCUGCCUCCCUCCCCACCUCACUCAGUUCUACACUUAAGUCUUGCACACAUGCAUCUGAUUGGUCAGAUGAUAGUACAUUCAAAUCCCUAGCUGCCCAGGAGUCUGCGAAAUGUGUGCCUAGCUUUUCAUCCACUGCAGCAGAGAAAGUUACCCUGGAAAUAGGUUCAACUAGAUAUUGUUAGAAUUCACCAGUGCAACUAUUUGGGGUGUAGUGUUCUUUGUCAAAGGGUUUGUAGUAACGAACUUAAUCUCUUUAACUGCUAUAGAGCUGCUCAUAUCUUCUGUUUCAUCUUGUGUCAGUUUUACUGUUUUUGUUCAUUUUGGAAUGUGUUCCAUCUAAAUUGUGGAAUUUGUUAACUAGUUUAGAUUAUCAUCAAGCCAAUCCACUCUGUCCUCUACACGUGAAUAAGCUUUGUUCUCCUCAGAAAUGGGAGAUGCUGGGAUGGUUUUCACAUGUUUGUGCAAGAGCUAGGUCAGCUGCUUAGAAGUUGACAAAGUAUGGAGGGUAUGGGGACAUAGGGCUCUUUAUGGCCAGGCCACUUCCUUAGGUGGGAUGAAACAUCCCAUGUCCACCAUCCACAACUACAGAAGCUAAAUUAUUUGAUGUAUUGGGAUGGAGAAGGGGAGAGGUUUACUGUUUCUUGAGUACAGAGGACACCUUAGGGAAUGCCUUGUCUAACUUUCUCUGGAAACUGUUCAACCACCCAAACCAUAGGGUAGGACCCAGCCUACCUCCCGUAGCUGAUUGGACCAAGGGUAGACUCUUUAUCUUGGCUGCACCAAUCUCUUUCCUGGAAAUAGAGAUGUGGGACCAAGAAUGUAGUUUGGGCUGAUCUCUUGAAUGGAAGAGGUCGAAAAACAUGGUUCUUGGUGCCCAGCAGAGAAGUACAGCAGAGAUGCAGUGAGUGACGGGGGAGAGAUUUUCAUGAAGGACUGGUUUCCAAAUCUGCACUAUGCCUUUGUCCUUGAAGCUCCAGAAGAAAGAUCUAUAUCCCUGUAAUUCUUUUCCCUUAAGCUACCUCGGAGGUAUUUACAACCAAGAAUCCCAACUAUUGUAAUUGGAUUCUCCAAGAAAACCUCCCUUGUCAUCUCCCUUAAUUCAGCUGAUUAAAACAAAGUGGUAUGAGAAUGGCAGAGAGAGGAGAACUGUUUGUUGAACAUAUAUAUGUGUGUAUAAUGUAUGUAUAUAUAUCUGUGCCUGUGUUCAUAUAUAGAUAUAUACAUAUAUAUGCAAAUGAACGUGCUUAUUUAUGCAUGCUCAUUGCAUAAUAAUAUUAUGCAUAAUAAUAUUAUGCAUGCUCAUUGCGUAUAAGCCAACAGAAGUUGAAAAUCUCAGGGUGAGAUGAUAUAUAUAUAUAAAGAUGAUACAAUAUAAAGAAUGUCAUGACACAAAGACAAACAUCAUAUGAUAUCACUUAUAAAUGGAAUCUAAAAGAAAAACAAUGCAAAUGAUCUUAUUUGCCGAACAGACACCAACUCACAAACGUUGAAAACCAACCCCUGGUUAUCAAAGGGGACAGGUUUUGGGGAGGGAUGGACUGGGGGUUUGGGACUGGCAUAUGCACACUGUGGUAUAUGGGAGGGUGGCCAACAGGACCUGCUGUAGAGCACAGGGCACUCUACCCGAUGCUCUGUGACAAUCUACGUGGGAAGAGAAUCUAAGCGAGAAGGUGUGUGUGCGAACCACUUGGUUGUACAGCAGAAAUGAUCGCAACAUCAUACAUCAAUUAUACUUCAAUAAAACUUUAAAAAAUGGGAAGUUCCUGUUGUGGU